CAGGCGGUUUCUUAAGUCUGAUGUGAAAGCCCCCGGCUCAACCGGGGAGGGUCAUUGGAAACUGGGGAACUUGAGUGCAGAAGAGGAGAGUGGAAUUCCACGUGUAGCGGUGAAAUGCGAUAGAGAUGUGGAGGAACACCAGUGGCGAAGGCGACUCUCUGGUCUGUAACUGACGCUGAGGAGCGAAAGCGUGGGGAGCGAACAGGAUUAGAUACCCUGGUAGUCCACGCCGUAAACGAUGAGUGCUAAGUGUUAGGGGGUUUCCGCCCCUUAGUGCUGCAGCUAACGCAUUAAGCACUCCGCCUGGGGAGUACGGUCGCAAGACUGAAACUCAAAGGAAUUGACGGGGGCCCGCACAAGCGGUGGAGCAUGUGGUUUAAUUCGAAGCAACGCGAAGAACCUUACCAGGUCUUGACAUCCUCUGACAAUCCUAGAGAUAGGACGUCCCCUUCGGGGGCAGAGUGACAGGUGGUGCAUGGUUGUCGUCAGCUCGUGUCGUGAGAUGUUGGGUUAAGUCCCGCAACGAGCGCAACCCUUGAUCUUAGUUGCCAGCAUUCAGUUGGGCACUCUAAGGUGACUGCCGGUGACAAACCGGAGGAAGGUGGGGAUGACGUCAAAUCAUCAUGCCCCUUAUGACCUGGGCUACACACGUGCUACAAUGGACAGAACAAAGGGCAGCGAAACCGCGAGGUUAAGCCAAUCCCACAAAUCUGUUCUCAGUUCGGAUCGCAGUCUGCAACUCGACUGCGUGAAGCUGGAAUCGCUA
rnacentral:rRNA from 1 species